CUUCAUUAUUUUUAAAUGAUUAAAGCAUAUCAAAUUUAAAGUUAUUAUAGAUGCUUUAAUUAGUAAAAUAUUUUUAGUUAUUUGUAGAUAUUGAGUUAUUGUUUGUUUUGGAGGCAAGAAUUUUGUAAAAGGAGUAUAAUUCAUUCUAUAAGAGUUGAUAUUAACAAAAGAUCGUGUGACAUAAUAAUAUUAAUCUUUUUUUGCUAUCUUUUUUUAUUAAAAACAACUAAAUUAUCCUCAUUGAAUUUUGAUUAUUUUUUAUUAGAUUUUUUAAGUGUAUACCCUCCUAAAUAUGCAUAAUUGCAUGAUUACACUUGCAAAGUUGCAUUUACAUGUGUAUCCUUAUAAAGUUUUGUUUGCGUGUCUACUUAUAAGGAUAUUUCAAUCAUUUUAAAUUAAAAUUGUUUAUUUUUUAACAGCAUUAGAUGGUAUGGGUACAUGUAUUAAAAAAAAAAAGAAGAGCAUACAAGCAAAAUAAGUCUUUUAUAAAGGCAUACAUAUAUAUAGCAACUUUAUGAGGAUAUUCAUACAAUUUUGUAUAUAUUGGAGGGUAUACAUGCAGAAAACCCUUAAAUAUAAUUAUAAAAAGAUAAGAUAAAUAAAAUUAUCAUUAAAUAUAAAAUUAUCAGAUGUUAUUAUUUUUGAAAGGUAAUUAUUAGAUUUUAUGAAAAUACUUCAGUACAUUACUUGACAAUUGAGAGUUAUGUUACAGUGGAAGCUUUCCAAAAUUAAAAAGCUUGCAUAGGAUUUGACUGAGUGGUUGAUACUAAUUAAACAGCCAGGUUAUUCAAAUUUUGUACCUCGAUAUAGGAUUGCCUUCUCUCCUACCUUUGUCAGUCAAGCCCAAAUUAUUUUUCAUGUCCUUUGCUUGGCAAAUGUCCGCAACUUGUUGAUGACACCAUAUUAUUCAACAACUUUCUUAGUUGUCAUGAUUUGAGUGAAAAACCAAGCCAAUCUUUAUUGUCGAAGCAUGGUAACUAGAAACUUCUACCUAGUGUUCUCUGUGCACCUCAAAGCCUUUUUUGCAUCUCACUGCUGCACUUACUCCUUGUUACUCUAAAUAUUUGAGAUUAUCGGUUUCAUGCUCCAGCAUCUGAAUGUACCUCGACACCUUAUCCUAAUUUAGAUGAUGUGACGAUUGGGCUCCAGAUGGGCUGACCUGGGCCAAAAUCGGCAGCCCAUCUGGAAGCCACUAUCUAUUACUUCGGGGUUAGAAAGGGAGGUACGCCUGCCGGGUGUUACAACCGCCUAAAAGCCCUCUAAACGUCGCCAUUCUAGCCCCUAUGCCUUCCAUCCUCCCUGUACACUCCCUUCCAAAUUCGGAAGCUGCCGCAUCUUGGCCCCCCGUCGGUGUCGCCGGAGAAGGUGCACGCGAACUCCUCCCCGGAACUAGGUGCACUUGAUCUGUUUGUUUGAAGUGAGAUUUAAGCGAGGAAAGGCCCUGCUCUAUAAACGCCAGCCAUACCUCCAUAUCUCCCAGACCUUGGUAGAAGCUCGGAAGAAGGCAUGGCAUGCACUAAACUCUCAGUUGUAAUGCUUCUCCUGCUAUCUGGUAUUUAUUUCAUUCCCUUGGUAGUAUGUGUAUUUAUGUGUGUGGACUAACUAUAAGCCUAGAAACUAACUCAUUUAUUCCCUUGGUAGUAUGUGUAUUUAUUGUUUGAUGCCACAAAAAACAUAUAGCCUUGUUUUGGGAGGUGCAAAUUAGCAUGGGCACCGCGCCAUGCAACUACUCCGUCGUGAAGACGUUGACAAUGAGAAGCUGCCACCCAAGUGCAACUGCUGCAACCUUUUCGAAGAUUGUACCCUCCACCUAUAGGAUGGGUCUCAAAUAUCUUGUUGAAUUGGCCUUCAAAAGCUUAAGCUAAUUAAAUAUCAGUAAUAUAUGAAACAUUUAUCUAAAUAAAGGAUCUAAAUAUGGCCAUGUACUAUGAUCACCAUUAUUAGUUGCCGGUGGAGCCAAGAUUAUUCCAUAGAGAUGCCAGAAAUAAACUUGUAACAUGUAUUUUUCUUUUUAUUUCAAAAUUAUAUGCAUAUAAAAUUGUAGUUUA